rnacentral:tRNA from 1 species
GGGCUUCAAUGUUGGCAAAUGCUAUAGAUUGCGGACUCUUAAUCCGUAGGUCGAGUGUUCGAGUCACUCAGGACCCACCA